GAGUUUGAUCCUGGCUCAGAACGAACGCUGGCGGCAUGCCUAACACAUGCAAGUCGAACGAAGGCUUCGGCCUUAGUGGCGCACGGGUGCGUAACGCGUGGGAAUCUGCCCUUGGGUUCGGAAUAACAGUUAGAAAUGACUGCUAAUACCGGAAUGAUGUCGCAAGACCAAAGAUUUAUCGCCCAGGGAUGAGCCCGCGUAGGAUUAGCUAGUUGGUGAGGUAAGAGCUCACCAAGGCGACGAUCCUUAGCUGGUCUGAGAGGAUGAUCAGCCACACUGGGACUGAGACACGGCCCAGACUCCUACGGGAGGCAGCAGUGGGGAAUAUUGGACAAUAGGCGAAAGCCUGAUCCAGCAAUGCCGCGUGAGUGAUGAAGGCCUUAGGGUUGUAAGGCUCUUUUACCCGGGAUGAUAAUGACAGUACC
rnacentral:rRNA from 1 species